rnacentral:lncRNA from 1 species
CGAAAAUGGAAGUGACACUGUCAGCAGUGUGACCCUCACAGCUGUGCAUCCACUGGGACCCAGAAGAAAUUGCCUUUAAAUGCCGAUAGGAAAUGCCAUAGGAAUCUGGUCAGCAGAGCAUCAUGUUUGCGCUCUGAUUUGGCACUCUUCAGUCCAGCACAGAGAGAGCACUACUGGCUGCUGACACCAGAAAAAACAAGGGGUUUUCAAGGCUGCAGUGUUAAGAAAGUACAGGGAUAGCAAGCUUUAAGGGCAAGAGGUGAAGGAUUACUCAGGAGGGUGCUGGUACAGACACUUCCAUUUGGGAGUAUGAUUUGAUGAAGAAUGGAGUAAAGCAGAGGAAGAUGAGCAGUGAAACUGUCCUCCACUCAUCAGGAGAAGAGAGUUCAGUGGAUAUGAGCUGCCCACACUGGCUGGCGAUCUGCUGGGAAGGAACACUUCUCGGAGAGUUUCACUAUGAAAGCCGUCAGUUCUCCUGACUUGGUAAGAACAGUUUUUUCCCAUGUGAUACUUAUCCUAUUGAUUUUAAUAGAAACACACUUUUAUUGCACUUGGAGAUAUGCAAAAUGCAUCUAAAGUGCAGUGAAUUUGCUCAGUCUUGGCAUCUUCAUUCUCAAGAGCCUUUUCAAAAUGUAAAUUAGAGACAAAGACUACAGAAAGAGAAAUUUUAGAGCACAUGCUAAUUGCAGAAAUCUGAGAUGGUUUCUCUGAAUGGUAGGUUGUCAGUCAGGCUUGAAUUAAUGUGAGCUCUAAGGAUUUGUAUUGCUCGCUUAGAGUAGCUCAAGAGGAAACAUGAACCUUUGCACUCAGAGGGACUGCAGAGCUAACUCCCAACUCGAUCCUCUUGCUCCCAAAGCUCUUUUAGUUAUUGUGAUCUUGUUAUCAUAAUUCAGCAACUUUAAAAAUGAAUCCUAUGCAGAUCAGUUAGUCAGGAAGUGAAAA